rnacentral:rRNA from 1 species
UAUAUCCUACGGGGGGCAGCAGUGAGGAAUAUUGGUCAAUGGUCGGGAGACUGAACCAGCCAAGCCGCGUGAGGGAGGAAGGUACAGAGUAUCGUAAACCUCUUUUGUCAGGGAACAAAGGCGGGGACGUGUCCCCGGAUGAGUGUACCUGAAGAAAAAGCAUCGGCUAACUCCGUGCCAGCAGCCGCGGUAAUACGGAGGAUGCGAGCGUUAUCCGGAUUUACUGGGUGUAAAGGGAGCGCAGGCGGCGUGGCAAGUCAGAUGUGAAAACCCGGGGCCCAACCCCGGGAGUGCAUUUGAAACUG